AUAUCAAUAAGCGGAGGAAAAGAAACCAACAGGGAUUGCCUUAGUAACGGCGAGUGAAGCGGCAACAGCUCAAAUUUGAAAUCUGGCCUCUGGCCCGAGUUGUAAUUUGCAGAGGAUGUUUCUGGCGAGGUGCCUUCCGAGUUCCCUGGAACGGGACGCCAUAGAGGGUGAGAGCCCCGUACGGUUGGUCGCUAAGCCUCUGUGAAACUCCUUCGACGAGUCGAGUAGUUUGGGAAUGCUGCUCUAAAUGGGAGGUAUACGUCUUCUAAAGCUAAAUACCGGCUAGAGACCGAUAGCGCACAAGUAGAGUGAUCGAAAGAUGAAAAGCACUUUGAAAAGAGGGUUAAAUAGUACGUGAAAUUGUUGAAAGGGAAGCGCUUAUGACCAGACUUGGACCGGUUGAUCAUCCAUCGUUCUCGGUGGUGCACUCUGCCGGUUCAGGCCAGCAUCAGUUUGGCUCGGGGGAUAAAGGCUUCGGGAAUGUGGCUCCCUACGGGGAGUGUUAUAGCCCGUUGCGUAAUACCCUGGGCUGGACUGAGGUUCGCGCUCCGCAAGGAUGCUGGCGUAAUGGUCAUCAGUGACCCGUCUUGAAACACGGACCAAGGAGUCGUCUUCGUAUGCGAGUGUUCGGGUGUCAAACCCCUACGCGUAAUGAAAGUGAACGUAGGAGAGAGCUUCGGCGCAUCUCCGACCGAUCCUGAUGUUCUCGGAUGGAUUUGAGUAAGAGCAUACGGGGCCGGACCCGAAAGAAGGUGAACUAUGCCUGUAUAGGGUGAAGCCAGAGGAAACUCUGGUGGAGGCUCGCAGCGGUUCUGACGUGCAAAUCGAUCGUCAAAUAUGGGCAUGGGGGCGAAAGACUAAUCGAACCUUCUAGUAGCUGGUUUCCGC
rnacentral:rRNA from 1 species